GCCUGGGUGGCUCAGUCGGUUGAGUGUCUGACUUUGGCUCAGGUCAUGAUCUCGUGAGUUCGAGCCCUGCAUCAGGCU
rnacentral:tRNA from 1 species